rnacentral:rRNA from 1 species
UGAGUACGAGCUGCUACGGCAGCGAAGUGGGUGAUGUCAAGCUUCCAAGAAAAGCCCUAUACCCGUUAAGGCAUGACGGCCUGUACCCGAAACCGACACAGGUGGGGUGGUAGAGAAUACCGAGGGGCGCGAGAUAACUCUCUCUAAGGAACUCGGCAAAAUGGCCCCGUAACUUCGGGAGAAGGGGUGCCACCGCAAGGUGGUCGCAGUGAAGAGGCCCAGGCGACUGUUUACCAAAAACACAGGUCUCCGCUAAGUCGCAAGACGAUGUAUGGGGGCUGACGCCUGCCCAGUGCCGGAAGGUUAAGGAAGCUGGUCAGCGCAAGCGAAGCUAGCGACUGAAGCCCCGGUGAACGGCGGCCGUAACUAUAACGGUCCUAAGGUAGCGAAAUUCCUUGUCGGGUAAGUUCCGACCCGCACGAAAGGCGUAACGAUCUGGGCGCUGUCUCGGAGAGAGGCUCGGCGAAAUAGAAUUGUCUGUGAAGAUGCGGACUACGUGCACCCGGACAGAAAGACCCUAUGAAGCUUUACUGUAGCUUGGUAUUGUGCCCGGGCUCUGAAUGCGCAGAUAGGUGGGAGGCUUUGAUCCAUGGCUUGCGGGUCAUGGUGAGCCAACGGUGAGAUACCACUCUUUCAGAGCUAGGGUUCUAACAGCCACCCGUAUCCGGGGGCUGGACAGUAUCAGGUGGGCAGUUUGACUGGGGCGGUCGCCUCCUAAAAGGUAACGGAGGCGCGCAAAGGUUUGCUCAGGCUGGUUGGAAAUCAGCCGACGAGUGCAAAAGCAGAAGCAAGCUUGACUGUGAGACCAACAAGUCGAACAGGGACGAAAGUCGGCUUUAGUGAUCCGACGGUUCUGAGUGGAAGGGCCGUCGCUCAACGGAUAAAAGUUACUCUAGGAUAACAGGCUGAUCUCCCCCAAGAGUUCACAUCGACGGGGAGGUUUGGCACCUCGAUGUCGGCUCAUCGCAACCUGGGGCUGAAGUCGGUCCCAAGGGUUGGGCUGUUCGCCCAUUAAAGCGGUACGCGAGCUGGGUUCAGAACGUCGUGAGACAGUUCGGUCCAUAUCCGGUGCAUGCGUAAGAACAUUGAGAGGAGUUCUCCCUAGUACGAGAGGACCGGGAGGAACGCACCUCUGGUGUACCAGUUAUCGUGCCAACGGUAAACGCUGGGUAGCCAUGUGCGGAGAGGAUAACCGCUGAAAGCAUCUAAGUGGGAAGCCCACCUCAAGAUGAGUGUUCUCAUGU